rnacentral:rRNA from 1 species
AACGAACGCUGGCGGCAGGCUUAACACAUGCAAGUCGAGCGCCCCGCAAGGGGAGCGGCAGACGGGUGAGUAACGCGUGGGAAUCUACCCAUCUCUAGGGAAUAACGCAUGGAAACGUUUGCUAAUACCGUAUACGUCCUUCGGGGGAAAGAUUUAUCGGAGAUGGGUGAGCCCGCGUUGGCUUAGCUAGUUGGUGGGGUAAAGGCCUACCAAGGCGACGAGCCAUAGCUGGUCUGAGAGGAUGAUCAGCCACACUGGGACUGAGACACGGCCCAGACUCCUACGGGAGGCAGCAGUGGGGAAUAUUGGACAAUGGGCGCAAGCGUGAUCCAGCCAUGCCGCGUGAGGGAUGAAGGCCCUAGGGUUGUAAAGCUCUUUCACCGGUGAAGAUAAUGACGGUAACCGGAGAAGAAGCCCCGGCUAACUUCGUGCCAGCCGCCGCAGUAAAAC